UACGUAGGGGGCAAGCGUUGUCCGGAAUCAUUGGGCGUAAAGCGCGUGUAGGCGGUUCGGUAAGUCUGCUGUGAAAGUCCAGGGCUCAACCCUGGGAUGCCGGUGGAUACUGUCGGGCUAGAGUGCGGAAGAGGCGAGUGGAAUUCCUGGUGUAGCGGUGGAAUGCGCAGAUAUCAGGAGGAACACCAAUAGCGAAGGCAGCUCGCUGGGACGUUACUGACACUGAGGCGCGAAAGCGUGGGGGGCGAACAGG
rnacentral:rRNA from 1 species